rnacentral:pre_miRNA from 1 species
AGUCUACUUCCUCCGUUCCGAAUUACUUGUCGUAGGUAUGGAUGUAUCUAGAUGUAUUUUAGUUCUAGAUACAUCCAUUUCUGUGACAAGUAAUUUGAAACGGAGGGAGUAGAUU